rnacentral:rRNA from 1 species
GACGAACGCUGGCGGCGUGCUUAACACAUGCAAGUCGAACGGAAAGGCCCUGCUUUUGUGGGGUGCUCGAGUGGCGAACGGGUGAGUAACACGUGAGUAACCUGCCCUUGACUUUGGGAUAACUUCAGGAAACUGGGGCUAAUACCGGAUAGGAGCUCCUGCUGCAUGGUGGGGGUUGGAACGUUUCGGCGGUUGGGGAUGGACUCGCGGCUUAUCAGCUUGUUGGUGGGGUAGUGGCUUACCAAGGCUUUGACGGGUAGCCGGCCUGAGAGGGUGACCGGCCACAUUGGGACUGAGAUACGGCCCAGACUCCUACAGGAGGCAGCAGUGGGGAAUAUUGCACAAUGGGCGGAAGCCUGAUGCAGCAACGCCGCGUGCGGGAUGACGGCCUUCGGGUUGUAAACCGCUUUCGCCUGUGACGAAGCGUGAGUGACGGUAAUGGGUAAAGAAGCACCGGCUAACUACGUG